AAUAUUUGCAAAAAGUCUGGAGUAAGGAGGGGUCAGAUGGUUUUCUUUUCAUAUCUGAAUUUGGCCUGAUUGUUACAGUAAAUUUUGUUUUUAUUGACAAACAUGAACAGAGGCACCUGAGCCCCUGCUUUCGCAGAGGUGGGGACCAAUGUAUAAGAGACUUCUUCAGGCAUGGAACAUGGUGGGGGGAUAGGCAGGGUGUACAAUCUGGCUCUGCAUUAUUGGAAGCACAAAAGGAUAUCUCUAUUAUCCAGAACCAUCAAGGAACCAAGCUUGGAGCCUAAAAAUGUGCAGGUUGGGGUGAAGUGUUCAACCAGCAUCCUGGAUGAGUAAGCAAGAACUGAUCUGAAGCCUACACAAAGAGCAAGAGAAAUCUUAUGAAUUCAUCAAUCCCCAUCUACGCAGAGAAUCUGGGGAUUUUUGUUCAUUAUAAACAAGAAACGUGGUCUACAAAGGCUCUGAUAAAUGACCCUUCUGCUUGCUCCCUUGGUAACUUUAUCUGAAAGUAUGUGAUCCAUACAGAGGAUUCCAACCUACAAUUACUCCAUCAGCAGACUCCCACCAACGUUGAUGAGAGCUUCUCAUGAGGGACACAGCAAUAGAAAAACCUAGACUUUGGAAUCCAAAAGCCACCACUAGCCCACAGAUAUGUACAAAAAGAUAUCUACAAGAAAUGAGUGAACAUGUAUGGUUACCACAGUUACUUCCUGCUGAGGUCUCACAUACUACCGUAAAGGACCUUUA